CUUCCAUCAAAAACCAAAUAUUUGGUAAUAGCUACAAACAGCAGCCUCCUUGGUAGUGUAUGCAGCCUGUUGCUUGUAUGGGUUUCUCUAAGGGACGUUGGAAACAGUC
ensembl:snoRNA SNORA70 Small nucleolar RNA SNORA70